rnacentral:rRNA from 1 species
UACAGAGACUGCAAGCGUUACUCGGAUUCACUGGGCGUAAAGGGAGCGCAGGUGGGCAGGUGUGUCGGGUGUGAAAUCCCGGGGCUUAACUCCGGAACGGCACCCGAAACUAUCUGCCUGGAGGAUUGGAGAGGUGGGCGGAAUUCCAGGUGUAGCGGUGAAAUGCGUAGAUAUCUGGAAGAACACCGACGGCGAAGGCAACCCACUGGACAAAUCCUGACACUCAGGCUCGAAAGUAUGGGGAGCAAAAGGG